CAGUAGCCGCGGGAAUACGAAGGGUGCAAGCGUUAAUCGGAAUUACUGGGCGUAAAGGGUGCGUAGGCGGUUGUUUAAGUCUGUUGUGAAAUCCCCGGGCUCAACCUGGGAAUGGCAAUGGAAACUGGACGGUUAGAGUGUGUCAGAGGAUGGUGGAAUUCCGCGUGUAGCAGUGAAAUGCGUAGAUAUGCGGAGGAACACCGAUGGCGAAGGCAACCCCCUGGACCUGUACUGACGCUCAUGCACGAAAGCGUGGGGAGCAAACAGGAUUAGAUACCCCAGUAGUCCCUGUCUCUUAUAC
rnacentral:rRNA from 1 species